AAGUCGUAACAAGGUUUCCGUAGGUGAACCUGCGGAAGGAUCAUUAAUGAAUAAACUUGAUAGGUUGUUGCUGGCUCAAUCACUGAGUAUGUGCACGCUUGUCAUUUUUGUCUUUCCACCAUGUGCACUAUGCGUAGGUUCUGAGGAUUUUUAUCUAGUCAAAGGUCACUUUGGCUAUUGGAAACUGCUGUUGGCAACAAUAGCUUUUUCUGUCUCAGUUCCUAUGAUUAUAUAUACACCAAUGUAUGUUAAAGAACGAUCUAAUGGGCCUUUAAAAGCCUAUAAAACUAUAAUACAACU
rnacentral:misc_RNA from 1 species